UUGGGUGGGAAUAGGCUAGGGCUCCAGUCAAGCUGGCGCUAGUCCUUCAUCUCUCCCUACAG
rnacentral:miRNA from 14 species